rnacentral:rRNA from 1 species
AACCUGGUUGAUCCUGCCAGUAGUCAUAUGCUUGUCUCAAAGACUAAGCCAUGCAUGUCUAAGUAUAAAUGGUAUACAGUAAAACUGCGAAUGGCUCAUUAAAACAGUUAUAGUUUAUGUGGUAAUCGAAUUUACAUGGAUAACCGUGGUAAUUCUAGAGCUAAUACAUGCUGUAAAGCCCGACUUCUCGGAAGGGCCGUGUUUAUUAGAUAACAGACCAACAGCUUCGGCUAUUGUGGUGAAUCAUAGUAACUAAUCGGAUCGCAUGGGCUAGUCCCGCGACAAACCAUUCAAGUUUCUGCCCCAUCAGCUUUCGACGGUAGUGUAUUGGACUACCCGUGGCUUUUACGGGUAACGGAGGAUUAGGGUUCGAUUCCGGAGAGGGAGCCUGAGAAACGGCUACCACAUCUAA